GCCAUAACUCUGCCAAAAAUCAUUGAACCGGAAAAUGCUGACAAUAUGCACAACUAGACUUGGUACUGAUCAUUCCUGUAAAGUUUGGAUGAAAUUGCACCAGUAGUUUAUGAAGAGUAGUCCGGACAAGUUUUACAGACAGACGGACAGACAGACGACGGAGAAGUGAUCCCUAUAUGUCGCCACUACUCCGUAGAGGCGACACAAAAA